CCUACGGGUGGCAGCAGUGAGGAAUAUUGGUCAAUGGGCGCGAGCCUGAACCAGCCAAGUAGCGUGAAGGAUGACUGCCCUACGAGUUGUAAACUUCUUUUGUACAGGAAUAAAAUGAGGCACGUGUGCCUUUUUGUAUGUACUUUAUGAAUAAGGAUCGGCUAACUCCGUGCCAGCAGCCGCGGUAAUACGGAGGAUCCGAGCGUUAUCCGGAUUUAUUGGGUUUAAAGGGAGCGUAGAUGGUUUGUUAAGUCAGUUGUGAAAGUUUGCGGCUCAACCGUAAGAUUGCAAUUGAUACUGGAGGCCUAGAGUACGGAUGAGGCAGGCGGAAUGCGUGGUGUAGCGGUGAAAUGCAUAGAUAUUACGAAGAACUCCGAUUGCGAAGGCAGCCUGCUAAACUGGCACUGACAUUGAUGCUCGAAAGUGUGGGGAUCAAACAGGAUUAGAUACCCGUGUAGUC
rnacentral:rRNA from 1 species